rnacentral:rRNA from 1 species
GACGAACGCUGGCGGCGUGCUUAACACAUGCAAGUCGAACGGAAAGGCCCCUUUGGGGGUACUCGAGUGGCGAACGGGUGAGUAACACGUGAGUAACCUGCCCUUGACUUCGGGAUAACUUCAGGAAACUGGGGCUAAUACCGGAUAGGAAUCCUUGCUUCAUGGUGGGGGUUGGAAAGCUUCGGCGGUUUUGGAUGGACUCGCGGCUUAUCAGCUUGUUGGUGGGGUAGUGGCUUACCAAGGCUUUGACGGGUAGCCGGCCUGAGAGGGCGACCGGCCACAUUGGGACUGAGAUACGGCCCAGACGCCUACGGGAGGCAGCAGUGGGGAAUAUUGCACAAUGGGCGGAAGCCUGAUGCAGCAACGCCGCGUGCGGGAUGACGGCCUUCGGGUUGUAAACCGCUUUCAGCAGGGGCGAAGCUUGUGGUGACGGUACCUGCAGAAGAAGCACCGGCUAACUACGUG